rnacentral:rRNA from 1 species
UGAACGCUGGCGGCGUGCCUAAUACAUGCACGUCGCGCGAACAGACGAGGAGCUUGCUCCUCUGACGUUAGCGGCGGACGGGUGAGUAACACGUGGAUAACCUACCUAUAAGACUGGGAUAACUUCGGGAAACCGGAGCUAAUACCGGAUAAUAUAUUGAACCGCAUGGUUCACUAGUGAAAGACGGUUUUGCUGUCACUUAUAGAUGGAUCCGCGCCGCAUUAGCUAGUUGGUAAGGUAACGGCUUACCAAGGCAACGAUGCGUAGCCGACCUGAGAGGGUGAUCGGCCACACUGGAACUGAGACACGGUCCAGACUCCUACGGGAGGCAGCAGUAGGGAAUCUUCCGCAAUGGGCGAAAGCCUGACGGAGCAACGCCGCGUGAGUGAUGAAGGUCUUCGGAUCGUAAAACUCUGUUAUUAGGGAAGAACAAAUGUGUAAGUAACUAUGCACGUCUUGACGGUACCUAAUCAGAAAGCCACGGCUAACUACGUG